rnacentral:ncRNA from 1 species
UGGACGUACGUCGUGGGCUGGUGGCGGAGUUUGGUCGGACGCCGGAUGCGAGCGUGACGGCGCGAGCAGGUGCGAAAGCAGGUCAUAGUGAUCCGGUGGUUCUGAAUGGAAGGGCCAUCGCUCAACGGAUAAAAGGUACUCCGGGGAUAACAGGCUGAUACCGCCCAAGAGUUCAUAUCGACGGCGGUGUUUGGCACCUUGAUGUCGGCUCAUCACAUCCUGGGGCUGAAGUAGGUCCCAAGGGUACGGCUGUUCGCCGUUUAAAGUGGUACGCGAGCUGGGUUUAGAACGUCGUGAGACAGUUCGGUCCCUAUCUGCCGUGGGCGCUGGAAAACUGAGGGGGGUUGCUCCUAGUACGAGAGGACCGGAGUGAACGCACCGCUGGUGUUCGGGUUGUCAUGCCAAUGGCACUGCCCGGUAGCUAAGUGCGGAAGAGAUAAGUGCUGAAAGCAUCUAAGCACGAAACUUGCCCCGAGAUGAGUUCUCCCUGACUCCUUGAGAGUCCUGAAGGAACGUUGAAGACGACGACGUUGAUAGGCCGGGUGUGUAAGCGCAGCGAUGCGUUGAGCUAACCGGUACUAAUGACCCGUGAGGCUUAACCUU